AUUGAACGCAGGUGGCAGGCCUAACACAUGCAAGUCCAGUGGAGGGGCGGACGCGGGAGUCACGCCUAGCUAUCAGCCCGGUAGUGGGGGAUAACGUUCGGAAACGGGCGGUUAUACCGCAUACUGUCAGACGUGCCUCGGUCGGAUUUGCUAGGUGGUGGGGUAAAGGCCUAUCAAGGCGACGAUCCGUAACUGGUCUGAGAGGAUGAUCAGUCACACUGGAAAUGAGAUACGGUCCAGACUCAUACGGGAGGCAGCAGUGGGGAAUAUUAGACAAUGGGCGAAAGCCUGAGGCAGCCAUGCCGCGUGUGUGAAGAAGGUCUUCGGAUUGUAAAGCACUUUAAGUGGGGAGGCGUUACCAACAGAAUAAGCCCCGGCUAACUUCGUGCCAGCAGCCGCGGUAAUUC
rnacentral:rRNA from 1 species